ACACUGCAAGACACAAGUACAGUUCAACCCUGACAUGAUUUUGAGACCAGACAGUGCUAACAGAGGCCAGGGAUGGCAGGGUGAAGAGGUGGGUGAAAGUAGAAACUGCAGAGCCCGGCAGUGUGACACAAGGAGAGCCCCGCCUGCCUGGGAAAUUACAAAGAGGGCUAGGGGGAAUGGUGAAGGGUGGAGCCCCUGCCUAGGAUCCCACCCCCACCCCUGUGAGGGAGCUGGGGCGUGGCCAGGGUAGAGCUUCUGCCUAGAAUCCCCAGGUGAAGCCUUGACUAGGUUCUUGUGAGGGUGUGGACUGUCUUCCCUGGCUCAGCCAGUGUCUCCCUCACCAGGUCCUCAGAGUCUAGUAAGGGUACUUUCGUGUACUUGAUCCUCUAGAUUGGAGCACUGAAUGGUCCUUUUUGCUUUAUACAGCAGCCUACCUCGGAUGUGUUGUGUCACAGUAACAGAAAGUAGACCAGGACUGGUGACUAGGACACUGUGAGCUAAACAGGCUGGAGCAACCUUGACACAGAGUCCAUCCCACAAGCAGCUUGUAUUUAGCCCAUAGCCCUUUCUCAAGAUAAUUUCUGAUCUGCAGAACAUAGUCACGAGGACCCUCCUCUGCCUCUCUCCAAAUGGCUCUUUCUGGGUGCUGGCUUGCCUUCUGCCUGCUGGGACCCAUGUCACCUACCUGCUGUCUUGGUCACUUCAAACUCCUCGCUUUUCAGGGGGACAUCACUCUCUCUCUCAAAUGCAGCUUUGGACUGAAAUAAAACAGCACUUCAGCAGACAUACAUCAUGAAGAGAGAAGUCCCCUCCAGUCCCCUUGGUUUGGUCUCUUGGGCACUGUGGCCAGGCAUACUUUCUAGUGUGGGUAUGGCAUUCCCAGGGUAUAGUCCAGGGAGAGCGCAGGCAGAGGGUCUGAUCACAGGGGAUGGACAGCCUCAGUCUGUCACCUUGGCUCUCAAAAGCACACUUGAUGAGGCUGCUGAGGGUUCUGGUGCUCUGGAGGAAGAGCCUAUCAUCGGCUACCUGAGGGGCAGGAGUUGACCAAGGCCACCCUGGCUCCUCCAGCAACCCUGCAGGGACUACCCCUACAGUGGGCCUCCUGCUCAUGGGGGGGAUCAAGAGGGUGGCUGGGUCCUGUCCUCUGCAGUGAAUGGUAUCUGGGGCCCUGCAGGCCCCUUGGUCCCCAGGUCCCUGUGACUGGUACUCACGUAGGCCAUGGCGUACUCGAUCUCAGCACCCUGCAACUCAGCCUUGAACUGUGUGAAGUAGAGGUAGGAUUUCCCCUGGGGCCUGUGGGGAGAUAAGAGUCAGCAUGGGGACUUGGGGGAGAGGCCCCAACUGAGGCCCUGGAAAGAGCCUGGUGAUGUGGAACUCCAUUGUGGUAAAUUUCCAGGACACCCAAAGCCAGAGGCAGGAAGUAGCUUUGUGGGUGCCAGGGAGUAGGGAAGGGGGGAUGGGAGCUCCAGAGUCAGGGCUACCUCUCAGUGUUUAUCUUCUUGUUUUGUUUCAAGACGGAUUUUUGAGACAGAUUCUCAGGUAGCCCAGAAUGGCCUCCAACUAACUAUGUGGCCAAGACUGGCCUUGAGGUCCUGAUGUUCUAAUUUCUGUCUCCCCAGAACUGAACAAGAGAAUCAGCAGUUGGCUGUAUUGCACAGCGCUCUGGUGUCUUCCUGCCAUGCAACCAGAUUCCCCAGACCCUGCACUGCUCUCUGCCAUCUUCCUUCCCCUCCCUCUUCUGCCCAGUGCCUCAGUGUCGACACACACACUGGAGCUUCCUCAAGGUCGCAGGACUGGCCACCGAACAGCCUGCUCUCCAUUUGUCCUGGGUGGAUCAUGGUAUGCACAUGUACAGUGGCUGCAAAGAUAAAGAGACACACAGAGACAGACAGAGACAGACGGGGAGACAGAGGAGACAGACACAGAGACAGAGAGAGAUGGGGGUGAGGGGAGGUGUGGGGGCGGGGGGGGGGAGAGAUCCCAGCUGUGCACAUGGGGCUCACCUCCAGACGGUACAGGUAAAGUGCUGACUGUCUUCGCUUGUGCCCAGGCUCAUCUGCCACUGCUGGGGAGGGAGAGGACAGGCUUGAUGAGCCUCUUUGCAAGGCCUGCUACACAUAGUCCCUCCUAAACUCUGCAUCCUACUAAAGCAGCAGACACUGCCCUGCCACUGGAACUAUCCAGUCACUUUUUUUUCCUGUAAGAUGUCCUGAGAACCGACGGCAACAGCGAGACCCUGUCUAAAUUCAGUUGGGAACUGCAGACCAGUGUCAACCAUGGUGCUCUGGCUCCAUUCCUUGUUUUUUUUUUUUUUUUCCGGAGCUGAGGACUGAACCCAGGGACUUGCACUUGCUAGGCAAGCGCUCUACCACUGAGCUAAAUACCCAACCCUCUGGCUCCAUUCCUAACCAGAUUCCUCAACCCCCUGCCCUGCUCUCUGCUGUCUUCCCCUCCCUUUCCUCCUCUCCUCAGUGCCUUGGUGCCAACACACACACUGGAGCUUCCUCAGGGUGGCAGGACCACCACAUAGCCUGUUCCCCACUUGUCCUGUGUGGACUGUGGUGUGUGCAUAUGCAGUAGAGAACGUCUGUAAUAGUCAAUGGUCAAUGGGGGAUGCUGUUACCCUAACACCCAGCACUCAGGACAACCAGAAUUUAGUCUCAGCUAUGGAAGGAGUAGGAAGCCAGCAUGGGCUACAUGAGACUAUCAAAAACCAACCAUCCAACACAAUCAACCAAAACCAAAGCCAAAAACCAGCCAGGGCUGGAGAGACAGCUCUGCACCUAAGAGCACAGGCAGCUCUUUUAGAGGAUCUGAGUUCUAUUCCCUACACACACGUGGUGGCUCACAGCCACUACAACUAGUUAUGGAGACUUGAGGCCCUCUUUUGGUUUUGUGAAGUUCAGGCUGUCCUGAAGUGGAGAAGGACCUUGAACUCCUGAUCCUCCUGCUUCAGCCAGAAGAGAGCUGCCACCCAUCCUGCUUGCUACUGGGCGCUCUUAUAGCCAUUUAAUCUCAGGCACAGACAAACCCUAAAACUGCUCACAGAAUAAAGUAGAAAAUUUCCAUUCCCUGGAUCAUUCACAUUAAAUCACGCAAAUCUGUGAAGUCCAGUCCACGGUGUAGCCAUCACUACCAUGUAUCUAGAACAAUCCAUCAGUCCAAAAGGAAGCCCUGUGAUGAGCCUUCUGGCAAGCCUCUCUCUGGUCCCAGCACAUCCACUUCCUCUGUCAGGGCUCCUGUCUUGGAUACUUCCUGUAAUGGAAUCCCACAGCAUGACUUGUCCCUGUCUCCCUGAGCAGCAUCCUGGAGGUCCCUCCAGACUGUGGCAGUGUCAGUGCCACCCUCCUUGUAACAGAAAAACACUCCCCUCGAGCUCACUGGGAAGCUGGUUCUGGAAGUGGUAUCUGCGUUCGUCUCAGGCACCCUCCAUGGUCUUGAGGGAGGGAUGGCCCAGCCCUGUAAUGGGUAGCAGUGACAACAGCAGGGAUAAGCCACCCCCACAGCCGACUGCAGACUGCUGGAGAGAGGUUCAGGAGCAGGUGCUGCCCCUGAGGAUCUGCUGCCCUGGACACUUUCAUCUCAACCUGACACAGACUAGAGGCACAGGGGAGGAGGGUACACCCCAUAAAACCAGAGUUUCCACGAGCCUCUAGAGCAUUUUCUUUUUUCUUUUUUUUUUUUUUUGGUUCUUUUUUUCGGAGCUGGGGACCGAACCCAGGGCCUUGCGCUUCCUAAGCAAGCGCUCUACCACUGAGCUAAAUCCCCAACCCCGAGCAUUUUCUUUUUUUUUUUUUUUUUUUUUUUGGUUCUUUUUUUCGGAGCUGGGGACCGAACCCAGGGCCUUGCGCUCCCUAGGUAAGCGCUCUACCACUGAGCUAAAUCCCCAGCCCCCCCCCCCCCCCCCGAGCAUUUUCUUAAUUAGUAAUCAAUGGGGAUGCAGCUGACUAUUGGUGGAGUACUCUCUGGGCUGGUGGUCCUGGGUUCUCUAAGAAGCAGGCUGAGCAAGCCAUGAGAGCAAGCCAGUCAGCAGCACCGUCCAUGGCCUCUGCAUCAGCUCCUGCCUCCAGGUUCCUGUCCUGCUUCUUCAAUGACUGAUAUGGAAGUGUAAGCGGACCACACGCUUUCCACCUGGCUUCCUUGGGUUAUGGUGACUCAUCACAGCAAUGGUAAGCCUAAAGGAUGCCUGUGUUCAGUUCCUAGAACCCACAGGGCAGCUCACAACCACUGACUAACUCUAGCUCCUCUAACCUCAGAGAGCAACACACUAACAAGUAUACACCUGCACAUCUACUACAUACAUAUGCUUAAAAAACCAGACUACAUGGAGGAGACAGGCUGGGAGCUAGGUCCUGGGGGCUUGCCCAUGAGCUAUCCAGAAGACUGCCAUCUUGCUUCCUCUGAUGGUUUCUUCAUAUUCAUAUCCAAGAAUUUGCAGAUAGCUCAGUGGUUAUAGCACUGGCUGCUCUUGCAGAGGACCUAAGUUUGAUUCCCAGCACCCAUAUGGUGGUUCACAACUGUAACUCCAGUUCCAGGACAUCUGAUGGCCCGUUCUGGCCUCUGUGGUCACUGCAUGCUGGUUUCUGCUCACUGAGGUGUUUUGCUGUUUGUAGCCUCUCUAUUUCUUUGUUUGCUAUGUACAUAACAAAGUCACUCAUUCAAUGUCCCAAGCAGGGCUGUUAUCUCUCUCCACGCCUUACACAACACUCUUAUUCAUGGGUGUGUGAUAUUCCUAGUCACUCAAGUGCUGUGCAGGCCCAUCCAUCCACGGUCACUAAGGCACCUCCCACUCAUUGCUACCAUGGGAAGUUCUUUUUUUUUUUUUUAAAGAUUUAUUCAUUUAUUAUAUAUAAGUACACUGUAACUGUCUUCAAAUACACCAGAAGAGGGCAUCAGAUCUCUUUACAGAUGGUUGUGAGCCACCAUGUGGUUGCUGGGAAUUGAACCCAGGACCUCUGGAAGAGCAGUCGGGGCUCUUAACCACUGAGCCAUCUCUCCAGCCCACCAUGGGAAGUUCUACUCAGAACAUUCAUGUCCAAGGUUCCGGAGACACUGAUAUUUCCCCUGAAUGAACUGACCUGUGUGUGGCAGUUGCCUUGCAUAGCGUACAGGCAGCCAACCUCACAACAAUUUGUUUUGUGCCCUGUAUGCUGCCGAGCUAUCGGCCCUCUUGCCAGAUCACACAUAGGCUUUCCUGAGCACUCUCCCAGGCUGGCUGCCCAGGUGAGCCUCCUAAGCCACAGACCUUCUUGUGAUAACAAAGGGUCCACUGCCCAUAGUAGUGACACUGUUACCCAGCACUCAGGAUGCAGAGCAGGUAGAGCAAAGGCAGUUUGAGGUCAGCAAGGGCUACACAGUAAGAGCCCAUCUUAUAACAUGACUAAAACAGUAAGAACCACAGUGGCUGAUCACACAUAGAUUGAUAGUCAGGAAUCCGCACUGUGGGUUGCUGGUUCCACUAGGCGAAAGCCAAGGCAACUAGGGGUCCUUUGGGCUCAAGGGAACUGAGAAUUCAGUGCCCCAAGUGUCUGGUCACUUUCCCUUGACACCAUCUGUGUGACACCCUGAGUAACUUACCUCGUUGGUCCCUCCUUGGGAAGCGUAAGUGAAUGUGCAUGUAAACUUGCCCUGUAGAAGGAAAAAUAAAAGGAGGCUGAAGGGCAAAGGUUUCAACGCUCGGAAUCGAGACCCUAGCAUAACGGGCAUGGUAUCAUCUCUGGUUCCCAGGAGGCUGAGGCAGAAAUGGGACAUUAGCCAGCCUGGGUGACUUAUCAAGGUGCUGUCCUGGCGUAAAACAGAUCAAAGAGGACUGGGAUGUACUUCAGCAGUAGAGCCCCUGCCCAGAUGUCAAGGAUUGAGACUGUCUUAAAUCAACUGUGAGGGGCUGCUGGGUGACUUGGGGGUGGAGCCCUGCCUAGAAUCUCCCAUUGAGGAGCUGGGGGCGUGGUCAGGGGUGGAGCCCUACCUAAGGCUGGGACAGAACACUGGCUCAGCCUAUUUGAGACCCUGGGUUCCAUCCCUCGGUACCAUAUAAAACAAAGACCCUGUGACGCCCUCCAGUGACCAUCUGAUAUCUUUCCUCUCAGGAGGUCAGAAUUUUGCUCAAAUCCAUGUGGUUUCCCGGGAAGGUCAAAUGGCCUUCAGCAGCUGCCUCUUUAGAACACUGGCUAUGAGGGUCCUGGAACUCUUCUCCAGGCUGGCCCCGAACUGAGAUCUGCCUGACCGCCGCCUGAGUGCUGAGAUUAACGGCGUAGGCCGCCAUCACCACCUGUUGAUUGUUUUUCGUUUAUAACUUACUUUACCUUUGUUUAUAUUUUAAGUUUUACUCAAAAAUAUUUUAUUGUGAGUGCUCAGCAAUUAAGAGCAUUGGCUGUUCUAUAGAGGAUCAAGAUUUGAGUCUCAGCACCCACAUGGUGGUUCCACAACUUUAACUCCAGCCCCAAGAGAUCCGAUGCCCUCUUCUGGCCUCUGUAGGUACCAGAUAGACAUAUAUGCGGGCAAAACGCCAUGCACACAUAAAAAUACUAUAAUAACAGUAUUUUAAGUGGACUCUUCUAGUAUAGCAGCUUCCUAUAAGUCCAGGUGUUGCUUGUUACCGGGCAUGCCUGACCAGCCCUCUACUGCUGAUUAAUUUUCCCAUCUUUCGGCUGGCUGGCAAGAUGGAAGAGUGAAUAAAGGGGCUUGCAGCCAUGACAGCUGACCAUCCUCCAGCCCUCGGAACUAGGUGGUGGCAGAACUGACUCCUAAAAGCUGCCCUCACUACAAGUGAGCUGGGGCAAGCAGCCUUGCAUAACAGAAAAUAAGUAUGUAACUUUAAAAAUUAGACUCCAGGGCCAAGUGAUCCUCAAUGUAGUCACAAGUACUGGGCCUCUUUCCCCUCAAAUGGCUGAUGCCACCUUAGCCUGCCACAUCCCAGUCCCUGAGCGAUGCACCACAAAAGUCAUCAAAAUAGUGGCAGGGUCCUCCUUCCCACCCCAGCCUAUGGGCCACUGCAAUAAAAUGGCCAACAAGUGGCAGCACCAGUGACAUCUCAGCCUACCGCCCUGUUGGGGAGGCUCAUCUCCUCUCAGGCCUCCCCCAUGCACCAGCAGCCCCACAGAGAUGGUGCCUCAGCAAAAGCCAGCUGCAGGCAGGACUUUCCACCCUUAUCCAUGAGCCCAAUGCAGGGAAAAGGUGGUGAAAAAGAGCCACCAAUUGCUGAGCAGGAAAACCCACCAGUCCCUUGAGAUUAUCAUUAAAAAACAACAAAAACCCACCAAUCCCCGAGCCUUCCCCAAGCUCAAGCUCUUGAAAUUCCACCAAUCCUCAAUCUGGAAAUCUCUGCCCUGAGAUCUGCCCCUCCCAGAUCCUAUAUUAGCACUGCCCCUUCAAUUCCCUGCUGCCCAGUCCCUAGAGAGGAAGGCAGAUGUCCCUGGAUUUAUCCCUUCAUAUCCUGGACUCCCCAAUAGAUUUCUUUCAUGAUAUUUGCUGCCUGGUGUGAGUCCUCAGAAGCCAGGAAGAAAAGAAGCAAUGAAGAGUCAGAGAAGGGAUACUUCUCCCUAGGAGCUCCAGCACCUCUGCUGAGGAGCCAUUAUCUCAGCACCGUGUGCUUCCUGGGCUUAAGUGUCUCAGGAUGCCCCUCCACUUGGAUGCUGUCCCACCAGAGCUGUGCUGUCCCCGAAACACAUCGCCUGUCUGCUCUCUCGGUCACUUCCUGUCCCAUCCUUGUCUCUCACUGGUAGAUGUCCCUUCCCACUGUUUAGUCACUGCAGAAGUCAGAGGGCAGCUCGCAGGCCAGUUUUCUCUAACCGGAACGGUUUUGGAGAUCACACUUGGAUCGUCAGGCUUGGCAGCAAGCACUUUAAACUUGCUGAACCAUCUCAUGAGCCCAUUUCUGGUUCCCACCCUUCUCUCAAAUGAAAGGGAAUGGACUAGUUCACUAACCACAGAGGCCAUGUGUGUUCCCAGAAUCGGGACAGAACCUGGCAGCGAAGACCAGCUGACCCGUGUGAGAUUACUUAUGGGGAAGUCUUUCAUCUUUAAUUGUCUUCUAUAAUAUUAUUGAUUUUUUUAAGACAGAGUUUCUCUGGCUGUCAUAAAAUUCCUUCUGUGGACAAGGUUGGUCUCAAACUCACAGAGAUACACCUGGUUCUGCCUCCCAGGUGCUGGGCUGGAGCCUACACGGGGCUGUCCUAUAUACCUGACACUGUCCCCACUCCCACUCUCCCAUCACCAGUCCUCAGUUUCCAGCCUGGGACCCAAGGGCCCACAGAAUCCCCUGCAAUCCCUCUGUCCUCCAACCAACACCACUUGAGAAGGAGCUUCACAGUGGCACCAUUUUCAUUUGGAUUCAUUUAAUGAGUCUACAUAUCACAUAAUUAUAAAAGAAUAAGAAUUGACAAAAAUAUUUUCUUUCCAUAAUAUGUAGAGGUGGUUUCUGGUUUGGUUUUUUUGUUUUUUCUUUUUCUUUUUUUACUUCUUUAUGCUGGACUCUGGUAGGAGAGGGUGGGGAAGGACAGGUCCUAUUCCUGACCCUGGCACCCCUAGGUGGUGAGUGGGGAGGAGCUGGGCAGCAUACAGG